rnacentral:tRNA from 1 species
GGGCCGUUAGCUUAGUUGGUAGAGCGCCUGCUUUGCAAGCAGGAGGUCGCCGGUUCGAAUCCGGCACGGUCCA